UACGGAGGUGGCAAGCGUUGCUCGGAAUCACUGGGCGUAAAGGGCGCGUAGGCGGGGAGGUAAGUCGGGUGUGAAAUCCCUCGGCCCAACCGAGGAACUGCGCCCGAGACUGCUUCUCUUGAGUCCCGGAGAGGAAGGUGGAAUUCCCGGUGUAGCGGUGAAAUGUGUAGAGAUCGGGAGGAACACCGGGUGGCGAAGGCGGCCUCUGGACGGUGACUGACGCUGAGGCGCGAAAGCGUGGGGAGCAAACGGG
rnacentral:rRNA from 1 species